rnacentral:tRNA from 1 species
CGGCGAGGUGGGCCGGUACGGCGGGGCGGGCGGUGGCCGUCGGCCGGGCCCGGAUGACCGGUUCCGCCGGUGCCGGGCCCGGUUCCGCCGG